GAUGAACGCUGGCGGCGUGCCUAAUACAUGCAAGUCGAGCGAACAGACGAGGAGCUUGCUCCUCUGACGUUAGCGGCGGACGGGUGAGUAACACGUGGAUAACCUACCUAUAAGACUGGGAUAACUUCGGGAAACCGGAGCUAAUACCGGAUAAUAUAUUGAACCGCAUGGUUCAAUAGUGAAAGACGGUUUUGCUGUCACUUAUAGAUGGAUCCGCGCCGCAUUAGCUAGUUGGUAAGGUAACGGCUUACCAAGGCAACGAUGCGUAGCCGACCUGAGAGGGGGGGCGGCAACAGGGGAACAGAGACAGGGCCAAAACCCCACGGGGAGCAGCAGGAAGGAAAUCUUCAGAAAGGGGGAAAGGCCGGACGGGGAAACCCGGGGGGAGGAAGAAGGGUUUUGGGAAGAAAAAACUUUUUUAUAAGGAAAAAAAAAAUGUGAAAGAACAAAGGCCUGCUUGAAGGUACCAAAAUAAGAAACCCAGGAAAAAAUAGGGC
rnacentral:rRNA from 1 species